GGGCUUCCAUAAACGGCUUAAGGGGCUUUGUGUUCCGGUUCAGUUUUGACUUAAUCGGCUUUCUAUCAUUUGUACAAGUGAAGAGAUCAUCAGAACCGUUUCUUGUUUAGUUUUUUUUUUUUUUUUUUUAUUUACUUUUUUUAAUUACCUUUUAACUUUUUUGGGGGGCAUUUUGGGUUAAUUAACUCUUUUUUUUCUCUUUCUAUUUUAAGAAAAUGUGAAUGUGGUGAUGUCUAAACUACAAACAUGGGAACUAUGCGUCUCUAUACUAAAUUAAACACAAAUUUUAAAAAUACAGAUUUAAUUUAUUUUUAAUAGUAAAUUACUUAGCCGAAACUUCGUAGACAAAUUAAAUGAAAAUAAAGUUAUUGAUUUUUAUUUUUCAUUUUUUUAAUUGCAGCGAUUUUUCGUUCAUUGUUGUACGAAGCAUGUGGUCGAAUAGUGAACCCGAUUUACGGUUCAGUUGGUUUAUUAUGGUCUGGGAGCUGGCAACUUUGUCAAGCCGCUGUGGAAGCCGUUUUGAAAGGCGCGCCGAUUACGCCAAUAACUUCGGAAGCAGCUGCUAAUGGGCGGGGUCCACCUCUCAAGGCGUAUGACAUACGCCACGUGUCGAAAGAAGAGAACUCCGCCGUUUCGAACGAAACUCAGCAGCGAGUCAAGACUCGGUCUCGUGUGAAGCGAUCGAACUUAGCCAAGCCGAAGUUAACAACUGAUAAUGAGGAAAAAAGUAGCAAUAACAAAGGAAUUGAAUCCGGUUCUGUUGAACCGGUUGAAGAAGUGAUGAACCGGUCCGCGAGUCAUGAAUCAUCGCUAAGCCACCAGUCUGAGGCGGUAAAUGCGGCGGCGGUGGAUGGAGAGAGUAAAGAGAGUGAUGAAAGUAUGGCUUCGGUUGAAACGGCUGAGACUUCGAUGAACUUAUUUAGAGAUGAACCGGAGUCAACCAGAGAUUUGAAACGGGUGGACCGAACCGGUGAAAGUGGAGAGGAAAAUGUUGGUUUAGAAUUGACUCUUGGGUUUGAACCGGUUUCACGUGUUCAUCACGUGGUUCCUGUGAAGAAAAGAAGAGUUGAAUUGAAAGAUUGUGGUGGCGGCUCAUGGAAGAUUGAGCUGGGGCUUCCAUAAACGGCUUAAGGGGCUUUGUGUUCCGGUUCAGUUUUGACUUAAUCGGCUUUCUAUCAUUUGUACAAGUGAAGAGAUCAUCAGAACCGUUUCUUGUUUAGUUUUUUUUUUUUUUUUUUUUUUUACUUUUUUUAAUUACCUUUUAACUUUUUUGGGGGGCAUUUUGGGUUAAUUAACUCUUUUUUUUCUCUUUCUAUUUUAAGAAAAUGUGAAUGUGGUGAUGUCUAAACUACAAACAUGGGAACUAUGUAGAUGAGAAGGUACAUUUGGAAAUUGAAA
rnacentral:lncRNA from 1 species